rnacentral:rRNA from 1 species
GGUUCAGGAUGAACGCUGGCGGCGUGCUUAACACAUGCAAGUCGAACGAAGCAACUAUCUUGCUUGCAAGAGAGUUGACUUAGUGGCGGACGGGUGAGUAACGCGUGGGUAACCUGCCUCAUACAGGGGGAUAACAGUUGGAAACGACUGCUAAGACCGCAUAACCCGCUAGUGUCGCAUGACACGGAUGGAAAAUAUUUAUAGGUAUGAGAUGGGCCCGCGUCUGAUUAGCUAGUUGGUAAGGUAACGGCUUACCAAGGCGACGAUCAGUAGCCGACUUGAGAGAGUGAUCGGCCACAUUGGGACUGAGACACGGCCCAAACUCCUACGGGAGGCAGCAGUGGGGAAUAUUGGACAAUGGGGGAAACCCUGAUCCAGCGAACCGCCGCGUGAGUGAAGAAGUAUUUCGGUAUGUAAAGCUCUAUCAGCAGGGAAGAUAAUGACAGUACCUGACUAAGAAGCCCCGGCUAACUACGUGCCAGCAGCGGC